AGCUUUCUUUAUUUUGUACACCAUAAAAUCAUUCCUUUCUUUUGCAAAACCUUAACUUAAAAACUGACCAUAUAACUCCUCUUUUGAGUAGUUCUUCCGCUUCCCCUUUCUAUUUGUUUUAUAAUAUUUUAACUAGGUCUCUUUCUUUGCAAUAAGUUUGUUGAAAACUGGAGUUAUAGAGGUGAUUCUUCUAUGGCGUAGUUGAGAAGUAUGUCAUUUGAAAUCAUGGCAGAAGAAAAAAACAGAAGAAAAGGAAGGAGCACCAGACAGAAAGAAAAAAUUGAAGAGAAAGAGGCUGUAUCAGAUAAGAAAAGGCUACAGAGAGGAGGGUUGCUCUUUCGUUGUUGAUCAUAAAAAUGGUGGUGCUGGAAGUGUUGCCUCUACGAUGUCGUAGAGGAUGUCAGAUGAAAAAAAGGUGUAUCGUUGUAAUCAUAAAAAGUGGUUAUUUUAUUGGCCCUUUUCAGUUCAUUCGAUAGGAUGCAUGAUUACAAUUUUUAGAGGCUUUGAUUAAUUCGAUAAAUUCAUAUCCAUUGGAAUCUGCAAGAGGUACAUAACUAAUGAAAUUACAGUUGA